AAGUGAAGACGGUCCUUAGAUGGUGAGUGAGUGAUGGCGAGGUAAACAAUGGAGGGGCCCAAGGGAGGCUCCUGUCGUGCCUGGCUUGCCACGGCCCGUGGAUCCCUCAGACUGCUGCUGUGUGUGGCCGCCCUUGCCCCGACAGUCCUGGCCGCCAACCAGAUCAAGGGCUUGGACGAUGCCAUCAUGUUCAGACUCAACUGGGCUGGCGGGGAUUCGGGCCUGCUGGAUUCACCCGAUUACGAGAAGCUGGUGAUGAUGAGCUCCAUGAAUGAGAGAUAUGAGUGUCUGGUGCCCAUCAAGUAUGGAGACAACAAUAACAAGCAGGAAUUCUACAAAGGUCCGAGCCCCUUAGCGCUACUGAUGCCUCUGUUCAAGCAGCAGUCCUGUAACCUGCGGCUUGACCGGUACUGGACCUAUGAGUUGUGUCAUGGCCGCUACAUCAAGCAGUACCGGGAAGAGCGGGAAGGCAAGACCACACGUCUGCUGGAGUUCACUCUGGGAAUCAUCACGGAGAAAAGUCUCGCCUCUCUCAGUGAGCAAGCAAAAACCUCAACUCAAGAGAUUCCUGUCAGUGCCAACAUUCCUACCACUAAGAUUGAGGGGCUGGACACACCGUACUUCAUGGUGAACUACACACACGGCUCCAUCUGUGACGUGACUGGCCAGCCACGGACCAGUCAUGUGCUCUUUGUGUGCUAUGAGGAGGGCCAGCACGACAUUUAUAGCAUCAAGGAGAUAUACAGUUGCGAGUAUGAGAUUGUCAUUCUCUCCCCUAUCCUCUGCCAGCAUCCUUUGUACAGGUCCCGGGAACUUCCCCAGACCUACCUGCACUGCAUUCCCAUGGAGGGCAGCCCCAAGAGACCACGCAACCUGCUGCAAAUUGAAGCUGAGAGUCUGAAGCUGCGAUCCAGUGACGCAAUACUGGCUGGUGACACUUCCAGUGGUUCUGUCAAACUGAAGGUUCUUGAUGAUGAAAAGGAAGAUACCACUACUACUACCUCCUCCUCUUCCUCUUCCACCUCUGAGCGACGGCCUCGAGUGCCCCUCUUUUCGCCACAGCCAGCUAUUGACCAGAAGCUAGUAGAGGACUUCCUGAAUGGAGAUUACUGCCUUCAUGGGGGUAGCAGGUGGUGGAAGUAUGAGUUCUGCCAUGGCCGCAAGGUGGAGCAGUACCAUGAGGAGCAGGACGGCACCAGAACUUCAAUCCUCUUGGGUUACUUCAAUAUGGAGAACCACAAGAAGUGGAUUACACAGAAUCCAGAAAAGUCCUACAAGCCAGGCAAGAGGCAGGUGUCCCACUUCUACUCAGGUGGCACAACUUGUGAUGUCACCGGCACACCACGGCAGGUGGAGGUGAAGUUGAAGUGUAAGGAAUCCAACAGAAUGAACAUGUUACAGCCCAAGUUCCAUGGCAGUGUACCUGCAGGAGCCCCGCACCUGUGAGUAUGUGCUAGUAGUAGAGACGUCCAUUGUGUGUCCACUGUUGCAGCACGCCGACCAUCUGGGCUGGUUCAGUGCAGCACUCCCACCAGAUGCUGCUCAGAUCACAAAAGAAUUGUCUUCCUCAAGUAGUGGGUCAGUAAAGCACGAUUCACACAAAGGAACAGUUGAGUUGGCUCCCAUAGAUGAAGAUGAAGAAGAGGAUGAUGAUUAUGAUGAUGAAUAAGUGUUAUUGUACACAAGUGCCUUCUAUUGACCAAACUGAAGAACUUUUUUUUUUCCCAAAUUAUGAAUAUGUCCAAAAGAUGCAUGGUUUUAGUGGAGGAUUUGCUUGAAAAGGAAUUACUGACAAACAGCAGUUGGGACUUGGGGACCAUGAGUGACUUGCAACUGAUUUGUCAUGUUUUGAUUCCUGUGAUGUACUACAGGUUGAUAAAUUUGUGAUCACAGCCACAAAAGUACCAGGUAUAAACCUAUAUAUAUUGUGCUGGUAAUGCUCAAAUAUCUUUCUAUUAAUUUAAUUUAGGCUUGUUAAUAUUAGAUGAAUAAAUACACGUGCACUAGAAAGUAAAAAAAAAAAAAAAAUCUGUUUUCAGUAUUUAAAAUGACUGACUAGCCUCUUUAUAUUGCAUUCCAUUUUUAGCGUGGCAUGUAGUUUAAGGAUUUUUUUUUCCAAGCAUACAAAUGGAAAGUGGAUUAUAGAAUUUAUGGAACUGAAUACUGAGAGAAAUACGUAUGAACUGUCAAUAAUUAUUACACAGAUCCAAAGCAUAUUUAUAUUUUCAGCUUCACACCUAAUCUGAAUUUUUACAAGUACUGCUGCAGCACUGCACUGCUAGAUAUGAUAUUUGCUGAAUAUUUUUUUUUUUACAUAAUCAAUGAUUGUCAAGCCCUUUUCUUGUAUAUCAUUACCAAUAUAUUUUCCCUAGUUUGGAAACAAUUGAUGAAAAUGUUAUACAAAUCAGGUUACUUAGGUCCGAACAGAUUUUCAUACCAUUUCAUUCAUUACUGUUUAGUAGCUUGUAUUACUCAGGAUUCAGCCACUACUGCUGGUAGCCAAAUACUAAUACUACAGGCAACUAACUACCUUACAGUGCCAUUGAAUAAUACUAAUUAAUACAACCAAUAGUGUUGCUACUAUUAUUGUCAAUGAUAACGUGCAUCACAGUUAGCAAACGAGUGUGCUUCCCAGUUCAGUAGUGUACUGUUACAGGUCUGGCUGAGCUGUGGUAAUGUGAGGCACACCAGAUAUCACAAAGAGAGGGACUAGAAGGGACUUGACUGGGUAGUUCAGAUGAUAUGUUUAGUGAUAUUCACUUCUGAAAUGGUGAUCUAGUAAUGUUCUUCAUGCUGGUAAGCUAACGAGGUACUGAUGUGCAGUGUGGUGUUAGAUGACCUGUUGUAGACCACUCCUUAAAAUGUUUCAGAGGACUAGCAGCUUUCUUCAUAAUUCAUAAUGAAUGUCAGUGAAAUAUAAAUACUGUUGUUAUUCUGCUGUGAUCUGUGAUGACAGAAAAAUAAGAUUCAACAACUACAAAUAUAAUGAUGCUGUAGAUACAAACCAACAAAUAUUAUAUAUAUAGCACAUUUGUUGUUGAAGGGUUAGUGUGAUGUUAUUUAUAAAGUGAAUGAUAAAGUUUGCAUGAUAGGGACUGUACUGAUGCUGUGUGAUAACUACCUAUGAAUGAAGCCUAUCUGGUAUCACUGUGUAGAGUUUUGUAUUCCUGUACACAUUUUGGAAGUAAAAUGUAUAUUUAUAAUAAAUCUGUUUACAUAA